AAUCAACGCUGGCGGCGUGCCUCAGACAUGCAAGUCGAACGAUUAAAGCUCUCUUCGGAGAGUGCAUAGAGUGGCGCACGGGUGAGUAACACGUAAGUAAUCUACCUUCGAGUGGGGAAUAACGUCCGGAAACGGACGCUAAUACCGCAUAAUGCAGCGGCAUCGUAAGAUGACAGUUGUUAAAGAUUUAUCGCUUGAAGAGGAGCUUGCGGCAGAUUAGCUAGUUGGUAGGGUAAUGGCUUACCAAGGCUACGAUCUGUAUCCGGUCUAAGAGGACGGUCGGACACACUGACACUGAAUAACGGGUCAGACUCCUACGGGAGGCAGCAGUCGGGAAUUUUGGGCAAUGGGCGAAAGCCUGACCCAGCAACGCCGCGUGAAGGAUGAAGUAUUUCGGUAUGUAAACUUCGAAAGAAUAGGAAGAAUAAAUGACGGUACUAUUUAUAAGCUCCGGCUAACUACGUG
rnacentral:rRNA from 1 species